UCUGGUAAUGAUGGCAGAGAGGUCACACCCGUUCCCAUACCGAACACGGAAGUUAAGCUCUCUAGCGCCGAUGGUAGUUGGGACCUUGUUCCUGUGAGAGUAGGACGUUGCCAGGC
rnacentral:rRNA from 3 species